GUGGGGAAUAUUGGACAAUGGGCGAAAGCCUGAUCCAGCCAUGCCGCGUGUGUGAAGAAGGUCUUCGGAUUGUAAAGCACUUUAAGUUGGGAGGAAGGGCAUUAACCUAAUACGUUAGUGUUUUGACGUUACCAACAGAAUAAGCACCGGCUAACUUCGUGCCAGCAGCCGCGGUAAUACGAAGGGUGCAAGCGUUAAUCGGAAUUACUGGGCGUAAAGCGCGCGUAGGUGGUUCAGCAAGUUGAAGGUGAAAUCCCCGGGCUCAACCUGGGAACUGCCUCCAAAACUACUGAGCUAGAGUACGGUAGAGGGUAGUGGAAUUUCCUGUGUAGCGGUGAAAUGCGUAGAUAUAGGAAGGAACACCAGUGGCGAAGGCGACUACCUGGACUGGUAUUGACGCUGAGGUGCGAAAGCGUGGGGAGCAAACAGGAUUAGAAACCCCAGUAGUCC
rnacentral:rRNA from 1 species